AGUCAAUACUACAAUAAAAUAUUGUUUUUUUUUUUUUUUUCACUGUAUCAAAGACUAACCCAGUUGUUGACUGCGAAACUGGGAAUGGCGCGUUAAAUCGGUUAUCGUCUAUUUGAUAGUGCCUUACUACUUGGAUAACCGUGGUAAUUCUAGAGCUAAUACAUGCUGAAAACCCCGACUUCGGAAGGGAUGUAUUUGUUAGAUUAAAAGCCAAUGCCCUCCGGGGCCUCCUGGUGAUUCAUGACAACUUCUCGAAUCGCACGGCCUUGCGCCGGCGAUGGUUCAUUCAAAUUUCUGCCCUAUCAACUUUCGACGGCUGGGUCUUGGCCAGCCGUGGUGACAACGGGUAACGGAGGGUUAGGGCUCGACCCCGGAGAAGGAGCCUGAGAAACGGCUACUACAUCCAAGGAAGGCAGCAGGCGCGCAAAUUACCCAAUCCCGACACGGGGAGGUAGUGACAAUAAAUACUGAUACAGGGCUCUUUUGGGUCUUGUAAUUGGAAUGAGCUACAAUUUAAUUCCCUUAACGAGGAACAAUUGACGAGGGCAAGUCUGGUGCCAGCAGCCGCGGUAAUUCCAGCUCCAAUAGCGUAUAUUAAAGUUGUUGCAGUUAAAAAGCUCGUAGUUGAACCUUGGGCCUGGCUGGCCGGUCCGCCUCACCGCGUGCACUGGUCCGGCCGGGCCUUUCCCUCUGGGGAGCCGCAUGCCCCUUCGCUGGGCGUGCCGGGGAACCAGGACGUUUACUUUGAAAAAAUUAGAGUGUUCAAAGCAGGCUCUAUGCUCGGAUACAUUAGCAUGGAAUAAUGGAAUAGGACGCGCGGUUCUAUUUUGUUGGUUUCUAGGACCGCCGUAAUGAUCAAUAGGGACAGUACGGGGGCAUCAGUAUUCCGUUGUCAGAGGUGAAAUUCUUGGAUUUACGGAAGACUAACUACUGCGAAAGCAUUUGGCCAAGGAUGUUUUUCAUUAAUCAGGAACGAAAGUUAGGGGAUCGAAGACGAUCAGAUACCGUCGUAGUCUUAACCAUAAACUAUGCCGACUAGGGAUCGGACGGUGUUAUCUUUUGACCUCGUUCGGCACCUUACACGAAAGUACAAGUUUCUGGUCUGUCGCGUAUUCAUCGCCUCGCUUU
rnacentral:rRNA from 1 species